CUAAAAACCCCCCUAAUAUAAUUAAGACCUCAAAUCAGGUGGGACUACCCGCUGAACUUAAGCAUAUC
rnacentral:rRNA from 1 species